rnacentral:rRNA from 1 species
AAUGAACGCUGGCGGCAUGCCUAACACAUGCAAGUCGAACGGCAGCACAGUAAGAGCUUGCUCUUACGGGUGGCGAGUGGCGGACGGGUGACGUAUACAUCGGAAUCUACUUUGUCGUGGGUGAUAACGUAGGGAAACUUACGCUAAUACCGCAUACGACCUACGGGUGAAAGCAGUGGUUCUUCUGACUUUGCGCGAUUGAAUGAGCCGAUGUCGGAUUAGCUAGUUGGCGGGGUAAAGGCCCACCAAGGCGACGAUCCGUAGCGGGUCUGAGAGGAUGAUCAGCCACACUGGAACUGAGACACGGUCCAGACUCCUACGGGAGGCAGCAGUGGGGAAUAUUGGGCAAUGGGCGAAAGCCUGAUCCAGCAAUACCGCGUGGGUGAAGAAGGCCUUCGGGUUGUAAAGCCCUUUUGUUGGGAAAGAAAAGCAGCAGGUUAAUCCCCCGCUGUUCUGACGGUACCCAAAGAAUAAGCACCGGCUAACUUCGUG